CUUUGGUCAGUUGCACUACCCGCGGUUGCAUAUGAGUGAUGCAUUCUCGUAGCCACCACUGGCAAACUCAGUUUUGUCCACAAAUGUUUGUGAACUGGCCUAAUGUCUAUGCUUGGACUACGGUCAUGACAUCAUUCAGGGAGUGGUGGCACUUCUAUUUAAAUUUUUUCUAGGACUUGCCUGAAACUUUCACUCAGCUUGUUUUUUUGUGAUGACAAGAUCAAGGACCGUGGAAAGCAGAGGACAAAGACGUGUCAUAAUGACAGGAAGCUUGAAGAUGCGGCAAGAUUCCUGAGAACCCACCCUCCAAGAUUGCCCAAAGGGAGGAAGUGCUCAAGGCUUUAGAAGUGGCAAAGAUGAAUUUUGUCUGGGAGAAUCAAUGAAGGCUUCCCGGAGAAGGGAGCAUUUGAUCUGGCUCAUCCAGGACUCUAAGCAGCAUGAACACGGACACAGAGAUGCGUGGGAAAGUAGAGACGUGCGUAGAGAAAUGCACAAAAGUGCAGCUUUGUUUGUGGAACUAUAUGAAGGGGAGAAGGAGAAAACAGGCAAGAGCCAUUCAAGAACCAGUCAAGGGGCCCUGCUGAGAGGAAGAACACAGAUUGACGC